rnacentral:rRNA from 1 species
GUGGGGAAUCUUCCGCAAUGGACGAAAGUCUGACGGAGCAACGCCGCGUGAGUGAAGAAGGUUUUCGGAUCGUAAAGCUCUUUCGUUAGGGACGAACGUGCUCUUUGUGAAUAAUGAGGAGUAAUGACGGUACCUAAAUAAGAAGCCACGGCUAACUACGUGCCAGCAGCCGCGGUAAUACGUAGGUGGCAAGCGUUGUCCGGCAUUAUUGGGCGUAAAGCGCGCGCAGGCGGGAUAUCAAGUCUGUCUUAAAAGUGCGAGGCUCAACCUCGUGAGGGGACAGAAACUGGUAUUCUUGAGUGUCGGAGAGGAAAGUGGAAUUCCAAGUGUAGCGGUGAAAUGCGUAGAGAUUUGGAAGAACACCAGUGGCGAAGGCGACUUUCUGGACGAUGUCUGACGCUGAGGCGCGAAAGCUAGGGGAGCGAACGGGAUUAGAUACCCCGGUAGUCC